ensembl:lncRNA
CCACACUGUGGAAGUCCUUGCAAUCAGCGCCCUUCCGCACUCUGUUGCUUGGCCCUGCAGAUCUGUUUUCCCUACCUCUUGGCCUUCCCUUGGGUUUCUAGAAGGACUUUCAUGUCUUUAUUUUAGUCCCCUUUCUGCUAUCAAGGCUCCUUUAGUUUUCUUAGGCAAUUUUUACAAAGCCUUUAAUGCAAAAUAAACUGAAUGGCUAGCCAAGAAGGCAGCUGGAAAGUGCCCAGAUUUGGCUGUUGUGUAUUGGACCCCACCCCCUUCUGCAUCCAUGACAGGCAUAGCAAUGCGGCUGCCCUAGAGGCCACUUCAGGUUUGGAAAACCGCAGCUUGCUCCUAGAAUCCUGAACUUGAACCUCAUUUGAGACAGCAAAUGACCAGGAUGAUUUGCCCUAUUGAAGCCUGUUAAAACCGGACAAAAUUUUUGAAAGAAAGGGAAACAGUUCCUUGGAUUGUAUUCAGGGAUUUGCUUUGAGAAGGAAUUUGAGUUUUUAGGGGGAAGCCAAAGACAAGAUUCAAGUGAAGCCUGGCCUGAGAAUGCACCAGGAACUAAGAUGAAGAUUGACUAACUCGCAAUCAAGCUUUCACUGAAUCUAUAGGUGCAGAGACCAUGGGUACAAGGGAAUGACUGUACUUACCAAGUACCCACAGCGUGCCUGGCGCUUCGCCUGGCCAACGAGAAUACAAAAGCAAAAAAAUAGCUUCCUCUGUUCAGAGUUCAUAAUGAAGAGGGGGAAAAAUGCAAGCUGCAGAAAACCUGGAUACAGUAAGGUGCUAAAAAGAGUACACUGCUUAAACUAUUACAUUAAGGAAUGAUUUUUGUUUCCUCUAAUCAGUUUAAUUGGACAGAGCUUACUAUAUAAGCCAGAGAGGAAGUGUCCAGUUAGGGACUGCUGUUCCAUAGCUUGUUCGAGCAGCACUCAUACUUAGUCUUGUUUUUAACCAAACCUAAAAUGGUGAUGACAGUUCAAAAUUUUCAGCUAGCAGUAAUUAUGAGACCCAGUGUAGUACUAAAGGAACAUCUCCUAGAGUCUUGGCAUAGAUCUGGAGAACUAGAGAAUUGAUGGUGGUACAAGUGAUACACACAUCCCUGCGACUGCAGCUCCCUUAACAUUUCGUGAUUAUAUGACCUAUUGUGAUUGUCAGAAUGUCCUGGGG